rnacentral:rRNA from 1 species
AGUGAACGCUGGCGGUAGGCCUAACACAUGCAAGUCGAACGGCAGCACAGUAAGAGCUUGCUCUUACGGGUGGCGAGUGGCGGACGGGUGAGGAAUACAUCGGAAUCUACUUUUUCGUGGGGGAUAACGUAGGGAAACUUACGCUAAUACCGCAUACGACCUACGGGUGAAAGCAGUGGAUCUUCGGACCUUGCGCGAUUGAAUGAGCCGAUGUCGGAUUAGCUAGUUGGCGGGGUAAAGGCCCACCAAGGCGACGAUCCGUAGCUGGUCUGAGAGGAUGAUCAGCCACACUGGAACUGAGACACGGUCCAGACUCCUACGGGAGGCAGCAGUGGGGAAUAUUGGACAAUGGGCGCAAGCCUGAUCCAGCCAUACCGCGUGGGUGAAGAAGGCCUUCGGGUUGUAAAGCCCUUUUGUUGGGAAAGAAAAGCAGCAGGUUAAUACCCCGCUGUUCUGACGGUACCCAAAGAAUAAGCAACGGCUAACUUCGUG